AAUAAAAUGACUGAUAAAAGUGGUAAAUUGUAAAUUUAUUUAUGAAUAGAAAUUAUUCUUUUAUUA
rnacentral:tRNA from 1 species